rnacentral:tRNA from 1 species
GGGGAUUUAGCUCAAUGGUAGAGCGCUUGCCUAGCAAGCAUAAGGCCCUGGGUUCGGUCCUCAGCUCCA